UCCCCUCCAUACCACCUCCUCCUGAUACCCCCGGCCCGAGACCCCGAAAUCCCUCCUCGCCCGCCACGGCUCUUGGAGCAGCAGUCUUGCCCCACAACCCUGUCCGCAACCGGGCCCCGGGAGCCGCUGCCGGGACGGCAGCUCCCGCCUCCCUCCACCGGCGGCGCCAGGUGCGAGCGCCGCAGGCCCGGCCCGCCCAGCGCUGCCCCUGGCCCGCUCCAGCCCAGGCAAACAGCGGUGGCCUCGCAGUGCCGAGCCCAGAAGGUUCAGGCAGCAGAUCGCCGUACGCUGCCCACAGCAGAGCUCGCCGGCUACCCGCAGCUGCCACGCUUUACAUUGCUGGAAACCGCAGCAGGGAGUACUGCCUGCAUUUAAACAACAGGGAAACUUUCCUGACCUGGAGGAGACAGACAGAUACAAAAAAGUUGAAGAGCAUCAUGGAGAAUGUAGUUUAUGGGAAUGAUACAAGGUAUGCAGGUACUGCUGACCCUGCCUUUCAAAGUAGAAACAUGCUUGCUGUGUAUUAGCUCUAUGGGCUCCAAAACAAGAGGACAGAUUACUACUAGCAAAACAACAGGCCUUGCUCCACCACUGCACACUCACAAUCAUCUGCUGGAAUAGACCAUGUAUGCUGCAAGGGAAAACUACACUGGAAUUAAGUUUCAAGUCAUGUUAAUUAGAGGAACUGAAUAAAAAGAAUC